CAUGAAAACAGUGAUAAUGUAAAAUUGAUGGCACAAUCAAUUAUUAUACACGCGGGUUAACACGGCCGACGUAUUGUAUCAUUGAGUCGAAAGAUAACUAUCGGAGCCAAUUAGAGAAUUGUUCGAUCCAUAAAACGAUUGUCAUCGGCGUUGAUUUGCUUUUCGGGGUGGUUAAUGGGAGUGGGGGAUUAAAACUUCAGCGGUAUACGGUUCACGGGUCGAGUCACCAACCCGCGUGUCGGCAAUGGCAAUGGGUCCUGCAAUGACUCACAAAACAAUGCAUAUUCAAUACGACUGCGACACGCCAGCACACCAUUCAUACGUCAUUUUCAACGUCGUCGUGGCGGUCGUUCGGUGUGAAUCAUGUUCAAAAACUGACCGGACGACGAAUGCUACCCCAUGCAGACAACCGAACACGGAAUGAACGUAACAUUCGUAUAACAACCCCCACAGCUGAUUCAGUGAUCCGAUUGAUGGAAAUCUCUCUUUCCCUUUCUCCGUCUCUCUUCACCAAAAACCGACACCUUGCCGCUUUGUCUCGCCUCGCGGGAUGUCACGCUUCGUGUAACUCUGCAUAACGCUACACAAUAUAUAGUUCGAGCUUAUUAAUCGCGUCGCGUUAAACCGAUAAGAAUUAACGGAAUUUAAUUAUCAACAUAGAGAGACCCGACUCUCGCGGUACAGGUAUUCGCACGGAAAUAUUCAAAGAAUUUCGCACGUGUGUAACCUGCUGUGAAAAAAUCGAAUCGUCAUCAAGUGCCCACUGAAGAAAAAUGUCAAAUCUAUAAAAUUGAGGAACACAAAAACUACCCCCAUCAUCGGCCCGUAUCGUACGACGAUGAUUAUAAUAUAGGUACAUAGAUAUAGGUGUUUUACGAGGCGGUGAAAAUUAAUCUUUGUUGAUGAUUCACGUGUAUAUAAAGAGAGACCUGAAAGGUGGUAAGUGGUCUGCGCGUGCAGGGGAGGGUGGCGCAAAAGCAGGAAAGUGGUAGGUAUAUAGCUGCACAUGGAAUCGUAUAUUAGAGUUUUGUGGAAAGGUGCAUCGAGACGUAUAAGCAGACGUCGACAGCGGGCGGGUACGACGAAGGACGUGAGGGCAGUUGACCGAUAGAUCAAGAGGGAGUUCGGACUUGGGUAUCCGGAUAGCAGUCGUUGGUAUAAGGAUAAUAGCUGGUGGGUGGCAUCGUGUGCAGGGAUAUACGAGAAUGGCACGAGGAUAUCGAUACACCCAGUCGUGUGCGCAAAAACUAUACGUAUACAGUCGUAUCAUAGCUGCGUACAUAAAGUGUUGUUUUACAGAAAUCGAAUACUCGGGUUCUAGCUACGAAGCAGGGAGAGAAUGAAGCCUAGUAUCUGCGACAUCGGCAAGUUUGCUACCGCGGAGGGCAAACGGUGUCAGAUAUCAAGUUAACACUGAGCCAUUCGAAAGGGGUCGGCGACGAAUGCAGCAGCAGCAUCGUAUAUACGCCGAGUCCUGGAGGCACACUGCUGCAGGAUUACGGGGCGGGGCAUCUCGCCUCCCUUGCUGGAAAACGACCACCGAGCGGCGUGAGCAGAAGAAGAAGAACAAGAACAAGAAGAAGAAGAAGAAGAACAAGAAGAACAAGAAUAAGCAGAAGUAGAAGAAGGCGGAGAAGCAGUUCGGUUUGUGCAAAGGCGAACAUUGAAUAGUAAAUAAAUAAAACAGAGGUGCCGCUGGUGCCGGCGUUGCUGUUGCUGCUGCUUUGCAUUUAAAACGAGAAUUUUAACGACCUGAUAGAAUACGCUAAAUAUGUAAUGUGGCGGCGAUUAAGAUCGUUAUCUCCGUCCACUCGAGCAUGAAGCGUUAUCGCAGUAAUAAGACGGACGUAUUAUGUACAAUAUACAAAGCUAAGUGCGCGUUAACAAAAACACAAUGAGCGAAAUGAGAGAAAAAAAAAAAACAAAAAAAAACAAGAGAUGGAACUAUAAUGAAGAUUAACUCUGCAAAAUAAUAAAAGACAAAAGAAAAAAAUAGUAACUAAGUAUGCACGUGAUGUGAAAGACGAGAAAAUAUGGGUGGUAAAAAGAAAUGUUUCUGAUAUACGUGUAUACAUAUGUACGCGUUCUCCUCAUAGCUGAACGCGUGCAAAGCGAACUUUGAAGAAAAAAGAAAAAUAUUAAAAAUUAACAUUACAUGCGGAAUAAACAUCCCAUUAAUCCACUCAUUUACAUAUACAUACAUUACAUGCUUGUAUAAAUUAUAAUGCUCUAUGUACGGACACACGUCCACAAUAUAAUGGAUCGAUAUUAACUUUGGAAUGUUCACGUAACGCGCGUUGAUGAGAGAAUUUCUCCGAUUCCCGUAAUGACGACUGCAGUUCCAGACCAUUCGAAAUUUAGGGUUCUGAUUAAUUGGGUAGCGUUGAAACUUUGGAAAAAUUUAGCAAAAACCGAGUUCGAUUCUGUCGGGUAUCCCAUCAGCUCGUCGAUCAAAAAUUCAAAUCUAAGUCAAUUAAAAGGACGACCCUGAACAGGACGUGCGAGAAAAGACCAUCAACUCCGCUUGAUUUUUCUCUGAUAACGACAUGCGCGUAUUCCGUCGACUCGCGAUUAUCGCCAAAGACGAAAUUCACGUUGAAAUAUGCAGAUACAUAGCUUACCGCACACGUACGAGGUGUAAUACCUGUACGGAGUAUGUAUAUAUACGUCACGAGUAUACCGAGUAAAUUACAUAUCUGUACCGUAUAUACGGGGAGAAGGUAAGUGUACCAAAGUUUUCAACUCCGGAGAUAGAAUCUUAGUUAAACUGUGAUAUACGAGAGCUGCAAAGAUCUUUUCGAGAGCAAUGAAAAUUCUUACUUUAUACCCACGUAAGGUUCUACUCCAUAUACCCUUUGUCUUAUAAUAUUCAACUCCACCGAGCCGGUGCGCGCCUUGGAAAAUUCAUCCACUAUAGGUACGUUACCUACCUUGUACUAUAUCAUACUUCUGAUACACGUGAAUACACCUAUAGUAUUUGUUCGCUAAGUAAGUGUAUUAUACAACGCGAUGAGAGCAGAAAAAGAUGAGCGCAGUCUGCAGACAAUAACGCACGUGCCUAUAUUAUAUAUCUACGCGUCUAGUUAUAAGUAGCGAUCGUACGUACUACACACGUACGACACAUUCACGUGUACACGUAUACGUGGCUACAUAACUCACACAAUGUACAUAAGUGCGUGAGUGCAUCGCGUAACGAUUAUAGGGGUAGGUAGGCUGAAAGUUGUAACUAUACACACACGUAUAAUACGAGGUAUAUAACUACGGAAUCGAUAUUUCCACGGUUCGCUGAAAGGCGUGCGGGGUCUUAGCGAAUCACGAGGAAAUAUAUUCGCAGAAGAGAAUGCGAGAAUGAACAAAAAAGACAAAAAAAAAAAAUAGAAAAAAAAAAAAAAUAACGAACGAGAAGAGGAGAAGUAAAAGUAGCGAAAUGCAAAAUGAAUCACCCACGCCUGUAAUUCGCGCGCGUGCAACGGGCAACUUGUACACCGUUGAAAAAUAUUUUCAAUCCCGUUUAAAUCAGACCCACAUAUAUAUUUAUUUACAUAAUAAGUACGUAUGCGUGUACGUAAGGAACGGCAAAUGGCUAAUGGUAUUAUUCCAAGUAGAGCGCCGUCAUAGUUUUACCCAGAAAACACAUCGAAUACAAAUGUGUUUGGUUUUGCGCGAAUUAUCUCGCGAGAAAAAAAAGCUCAAUUAUAAGAAUUAUCGAGCCGUGUGUAUGAAAGCGUCUGGCUGUGCAGAUUAUACAUGUAACGUAAGUGGCUUAUAAUAUACACUCGCGUUAGUACAUGGCGAGAAAUUAUACCUGAAUGAAAUUUGUUUUCUUUUCCUGCAAUAAUAUAUAUAUACAUACAUAUAUGCGAUAAAGUUACGAGGACCUUUAUAUAAAUGAUGAAGCUGCGGUGGAAUAUACGCGCAGUGUACACAUUACACAUUACAUACCUCAUACUGGUCAUACGUGUGUGUACAUAAUAUAGUUACAAAGCUCAUAAAUAAAAAAAUAAAAAAAUGUCGGUUUUUCUCUCAUGAAUAUUGAAAUCUGUAAACGUAUACAUAUAUGUAUUAUUAUCGUACCACGAUGGGAUACACAUACUAGAAUAUUCUAUCGAUAAUCCGAAUC